UUCGGAAUAACGCCGAAUACUGACGUGCCGUCUCUUCGUCUUCGUGUACCUAAAUUAUUAUUUGUAACUAAUACUUAUUCUGUGUAUUACUUGCUGUAGUUUUUACUGUGAGUGAGCAACAACUACUGAAGAAGAAUGUCACUCAACACGAUUACAAAAUACUUGAAACUCAAGGCUCGAUCGGAUGGCACUAAAGUACCCAAGGACGUUUGUGAUAGUAAAGAUCUAUCGAAGAAAGAAACACUCCGUAGAAGUCAGACCAAGGCCAAGGCUAUGGCCACGGUUGCAAUAAGGGAAGAGGUCCAGGAAACGGUAAAGAAGGAACUGAAGAGCUCCCGAAAAGUCUCGCCGAGACUUUCGCCGGCAGAUAAAAAAAGGCGGAUUUUCUGUAAGCAGCUUAACGAGCUUCAGCGGGUGCGCCUUCCUGAUGCACCUCUACGCAAGCGACAUUCUUUAAAAUUUCCUUCUCCUGAAAGGGAGCCAUGUGAAUUAGUGGCACCACAACCCCUAAGUUCUGGACAAGUUUUUGCGAUGCCAUCGCAACCUUCCACUUCACAGGACUACCCGCUAUCGCAACCUUCGACCUCAAGACAACCUACGCCGCCCUUGAUCAUAUUGCCGCCAGACGUCGAUUUUGUUAACAUGGAGGAUUUUGACGUUGCUGUUGACAUAGACAACGACAGUUUUGAUGCCAUUACGACGGAUAUAAACAAUAUGGACUUUAUUUUGGACUCUGACAGUGACGCCGACAUGGACGUUAACAUUGAAGAAUCUGGAGAGCUUCCGACAGACAUACAAAUAGAGAUCGUGACUGACACUGACCUGACUCUACCCCAAGAACAAUUUUUACAGGCCGAAGACAUCGCUAAUGAUCAGGCUUUACAACACCUUUUACCUGAAGACUGUUUGAGAUUUGAUUGGGACAAGGACCGGAGUACGUUCAAAGGUCAACGAGAACAAUUUACUGGGACACCUGGACCGACUUUUGAGGUGACAAAAAACUCUACUCCAAUCGACAUAUUUCACAAGAUGUUUGACGUUGAGUUUAUUGACUUGCUUUGCGAAGAGACCAAUCGCUACGCAAGGCAGAAAAUUGAGUCUGGCAAUUUGUCAUCAAGCUCCCGCCAACAUCGCUGGACCCCUACAGACCGAGCAGAAAUGAUUUCGUUUUUGUCUCUGAUGAUACUUCAAGGAUUGUACCCCCUUCCUCGAGAAGAAUCUUAUUUUUCUUUUAAUGGCUUCGGUACGAUGCCAUAUUUCUCAAAAAUCAUGAGCUAUAACAGAUAUAACCUCCUAAAAUCUAUGCUACACUUCGUUGACAACAACAAACUGACUGACAAACCGACAAGAUCUAAAUUGUGCAAAAUUCAAACAAUUAUCGACUAUUUUAACCAAAAGUUUUCCAGCUUAUAUUACCCACGGCAAGAGAUAGCGAUUGAUGAGUCGUUGCUAAAGUGGCACGGAAAGCUAAGUUUUACUCAGAAGAUCAAUACAAAGGCCGCGCAAGUUGGGAUUAAAACUUAUGAGCUGUGUGAGUCAUCAAGUGGGUAUCUCUGGCGGUUUAUAGUAUACGCUGGAAAGAACAAACCGACGAUGACUGACAAUGAUGACUCUGACGAUGAUACUGAAACCAGACCUAACCAGACAGAACAAACGGGCCAGACCGAACAGACGAACCAGGCAGACCAGAGAACUGAUAUGACUGAUUUUCAACCGACUAAUGCGACAUCGAAAAUUGUUUUUGAUUUAAUAGAGCCUCUCCUUCAUCGAGGUCACUCGCUAGUAAUGGACAAUUUUUACAAUUGUCCAUUGUUAGCACGAUGUCUUAAACUUCGUAAAACGGACUGUUACGGGACCCAAAGACUGAACCGGGAAUUUAUUCCUAGUUCUAUAAGGACGCUGACAAAGACUGACUUAAGAGAGGGUGAAGUCAUCGCUACCUACUGUUCCGACUUGUCGCUUACAGUAUUUCGAGGUGCUAAAUUAGUUUGUAUGAUCUCUACGUACCAUUCGCUUCAAAUAGGAACCCGAAUAAAACAUAAUAAAAUCGCUUACAAACCAAGCGUGGUUCUUGAUUAUAACAAGCACAUGGGCGGUAUUGAUCGAAAGGAUCAAUACCUAUCUGCUCAUCCAUUGGAAAGAGUCAGGAGCCGCGUUUGGUAUAAAAAGUUGUUUCGACACUUGUUUAGUACUGCUAUAUUUAAUUGCUUUGUUAUUUACAACAGCAAACACAAAAUAGCUCACCGGCAGUUCCGGACAGUGUUGGCGGAGACUUUACUUAAGACUUACCGACAGAUUGACUUAACGACUGAGCGACGAGUGAUAACACGGACUAGGACUGUAGGAAAAAAAACCACGCCGCAUGCUACGACAACGAUGUUGAAUCGUCCAGACGUCGAGGGGGACCAUUUUCCCAUCCACUCCGACGUCAAGCGAGGAAGGUGCUGGUAUUGCGCACAUGUGCGAAACAUAAGCAGUCGCACUGUAUGGCAAUGUAUGGAGUGUCGAGUGAAUCUUUGUAUUAUUGGCUGCUUCCGGGACUACCACAAACAAUAGCUUUCCACCGACGUCUUCGCCCGCGUAGCCAAAGAAAAAUCCGCUAGUUCCCGUGGGAAAUCAAAUAAAAACUACAACAUGCUGACCUGCAAGGCAAUUUCUAAGGAUACGGAGAACAAAUUAAAUGAUUUAAAAGCUUACACUUAAUGAUUUAAAAGCUUCACAAUUAUUAUGUGAACAAUUCAUUCAAGAGCGAGAUGACAGGGAAAUAGAGAUACAGGAAAUAAUAAAAACGAAUUCUCUUCUGAAGGCCGAGCUAGCUGAACCACACAUUACAUCGAUGAACAGCAAAGACAAGUGCAAAGCCCUACAGGACAGCUUCCAGCAGUGCUCUAGUUACCGCGAGAAAGCUCUUAGCCGUAUUGCUGAGUUAGAAUGCAGCUUAAUGGAAGUACAAGACAAUCUCAAGCGGCGCUGCAACACAUCAAUUAGUAGUCUUCAUGAGGAAUUGGUUGAAUGUGGUCAGCUAAGUGGCUAUGUAAACUAUAUAAAAAUAAUUUUUUACUUUGACAAAGAUGAAAGAAUACAGUGUAUCUGCCAUCUGGAUAUAAGAGAGAACUUGCUACGUUAAUAGUGUAUAAUAUUAUUAACCAGUCUGGUACAUGUUCGGUAUCAGUUUAUCUAAUAUAUUAUACAAACUCAGGUUAAAUAUUGACCAACAAACUAGCACUAAUCUAGAUUUAAACUACUAUAGAAGACUUAAACUAACUAAGCAGCCUUUUUCCAUUGUACAUACUACAUAACACUAUUCAAGGCUUGGCUAGCAAAUUAUUGGGUUUUGAAUUAUUUUUAAAACAUAAUAUGUAAUAGUAUUACAUUUCUUCGUGAAACAGAAUGGUGCAGGGGCUUAAACAAUGUCAGUUGUAAAUAAAUUAAAAAGUGUUUAAUCAGGUCCCAUGUGAGUAAUUCAUGGAGGUUCUGUUAUUUUUGUUCACAAUAGUGUAAAAUGCAAAGAACAAACUGACAUUGUUAGCCUUUCUGUAGAACGCACCAUUCUGGAGCGUUACAUUAUUGUUUUCGUAUAGAGACCUCCUUCCAGUGACUCUAAUAUGUUUGAAACAGUCAUGGAAGAAAUAUUGAAGCGUUUAAGUAAAAAAGUAAAUAGUAUGUGAUAAUUUUGUAACGCAGCCACACGAAAAUAUGUUACUGGGAAAUAAAACAAUUGUGAUUGACAUAUACUGAGUGGCUACCUGGUUUGGCUCCACUUACUGUUUCUCACAUUAAUUUUUAUUAUUAUUUUUUAUUAUUAUUUUUUAUUUUUCUGUACUAAUAAGAUUGUUACCUAUCGUUAUUUUAAUUGUUUACUUGUUUUUUAUUUGUUUGAAAUUGUUUGUUAUCUGUGUUUUCAUUAUUAAUUUAAAUUGUAUUGUGUACAUUGUAUAAGUAUUGUGGAGUUAAAUAAAUGUUUCUUUCUUUC